rnacentral:rRNA from 1 species
CACGCAGGCGGUUUUUUAAGUCAGAUGUGAAAGGUACCGGCUCAACCGGUGACAUGCAUUUGAAACUGAAGGACUUGAGUAUUGGAGAGGCAAGUGGAAUUCCUAGUGUAGCGGUGAAAUGCGUAGAUAUUAGGAGGAACACCGGUGGCGAAGGCGGCUUGCUAGACAAAUACUGACGCUGAGGUGCGAAAGCGUGGGGAGCAAACA